AAGCGCAAACUUCGAAUGAUGAUUGAUCAUAUUUCACUACAUUUAUAUAUUAAAAUGGUAAUAGAUAACACUACUUCAACAGUACAAUAGGCCAUGAGAGGGUUUUUUGUGUUCGUCACUUAUUCUAAACUUAAGUAAACGUACCGUAACGGAAUAGUAACAUUGAGCAUGAGGAUAACAUAGUCGGGAAUGGCUGAAGACGUUUUGUCGGAGCUUUUACGUCAUACGUACUUACCCACUAAUGCCUGGUAGGCACUAGGCCACUUAAAUAAACCGCAACCACAUUAGAUCAACUGAUUUAUUCCACGCAUAUAAUAUAACUACAUAAUUUUUAUAAAAUUAUUAUAAAGAUAAAGAUUAUUUCUUAAUCUUUUUUAAAAGCUUUUUAACAUUAGACUUAUUGAAGAUGACUAUUUUGUCCUCAAUGUUAAUGGAAAUAAUCGAAAUAUUGUUUAAACCAAACAAUCACUGUUGUGUAGCCAGUAAGUGAUAAGUGAUUGGAUAUCAGAAUUUUAAUCCGAUAUGAUUUUUAGAUCGGUAAUAGAAUUUCACCAGAAAGUAAAACAGUUAGGUAAUCUUAUCGUGAACGUGAGAACAAAGUUACAAAAUUCAAAGAUUUUAAUUGGAGGUUUAAAGAAAAAGUUUAAUACCUUAUCAAAUCGAAGUCUGAUUUUUUAAAUGUCCACAAUUCGAAACCUAAAGAAAGAUCUUUACCUAUGAUUAUAUUAGAUGUAAUAGCAGUCUUCAUAACUGAAAAUAUUUGGGCUGUAUUUUCUCUUAUGAAAUGCUUAAAGGUGACUGUUUUGUUUUUAAAUAACCCAAGUCAUGUUCAAGUAAUUACGGUAAGUGUAGGUUGGUAAUAUAGGUAUUUUGAAACGUACUAUUAUACUAUGGAAACAAGGAAAAUCUUGUAUAAACUAAGAAAUCCAAAUCAUUUAACGGGUUUUUGCUGCGGUUAUUCAUUGUAAAUCCAUACGCAACUAUGUGACUUUAUGGUUUUUAUUAACAUUCUAUAGUUGUUUGUAAAUAAUUACUUAUGAACAUAACGUACCUAACCAUACUUAGAUUGAGAUUAAUUGUUCAAUAGUUAUCAAUAUGCGUUCUCAUUUACCCAAUUAUUAAACAUGUUAUAGUGUAUUCCGAGUUGCGAGAAUUGGGUCAAGUUAAAAUGUAUAUCAACAGGGGUGAAUUAGAGAGCACCACAAUAUCUGUGUCUACCCCUUCUCAUAAAGACGGCGUGAUUAUAAUAAUUAUUAUGCCCUUUUAAUCUGACAACAAUGACGUACAGAUAAUUUGCAGACCUGUCAAUAUUUAUUAGAAACUGUCAGAGUCGAUUUGAGAAAAUUAUUUACAAGCGAGCCGAUGUUUAGCUGAAAUAAAGGUAUCCAAGACAAGCAUGAUUGAUUUAAACGAUAUCAAAAUUAAGUUUCGUGUUACCAAAGGCAUUUAAUCAAUUUGUGCAAUAACAAUACUUUGUUUACUGUUUUGUUUAGUUUCAAAUAACAUUACUUAGUCCAGAGAAUGCUACUUAAAACUUCGAUUCAGUAAUAUUUCUUUCGUUAAAUACAAUUUGACAAUUGAAAACAUGUUUUGACAAUCUAUUUAUCCACUGUUAACAGUUUUACAAAAAGUAAACAGUAGGUUCGUAUCGUGGUGGCCAGCAGGUUUGAGAGACUCUUCUCAUGCAUGAGAAUGGGUUCAAAACCUGUAAACAUCCAACACCAAUGUGACUUUUUCCGAGUUAUAUGUUUAAGAGGUGAAGGAAAACAUCGUGAGGAACACUAAGAAAUAUAUGUUUGAAAUCGCCAAAUCACAUUAAGUAAGGGUGGUGAUUAAUGCUCAAAUUUUCUCCGUACCAGAAGAGGCCUUCGGUCAGCAGUAGCCACUUAUAUGCUGUUGAUGUAUAAUAUAAACAGGUGUAAAGAAAAAAAAAUUAAGACUCUAUUGAUUACAUUAUAUUGAGUGAACUCAUAGACAUUAAUAAACAUGGUAAAUAUCCCGUCUUAAGUUCUAAUGUUACUGUAUUGAUUUCCGAAAUUAAUUGCCAUUUAGGUGCGUACAAAGAUAUGCGCAUUUAGAGAACUGCGUCUGAUCUUUCAUCUAAGAUAAAUAUAAAAUAUGUAAAGUACGGCUUGUACCUUAGAAUUACAAAGCAAAGCGUUAGAUUAUCCUUAAAGUUUAGUCACCAACCUUAUCGUAUAUAAAUCAAGUAAUGCGAUGUAAGGCCAUCAUUCGAGUAAAGUGGAGCAACACACAUCAACAUGAAACUGUUCAACCUGCUGGUGCUGGUCCUCGCGGUGGUCGCCAUGUUGAUGGGCGGCGCCAGCGCAUACCCCAAGGGCACGGGUACUGCGUUAUCAAAAGGAGCUAAAGCCGCCAAAGGAGCAAUCGGUGCGAUUGGAGCCAUCGGCACCGGCCGCGAAAUUUACGAACACGUAAAGAACAAGGGAUAAAUAAAUACUGUCAGAAAUAUAAGUCAUAUUAUAAAGCACCCUUUAUAAUAUGUUAAAAUUGUCUAAAUGUGUAUUGAUUUUCAUUGUAUUCAUUUAAAAAAUAUACUUAUUGUGUUAUAAA